rnacentral:lncRNA from 1 species
GGAGAGGAGGCGGAGAGAAAGGCCACCGGUGGCCCCGUGAAGGUCGAGGAGGCCGCCGCCUCGUCGUGCUCACCUCGAUCCACUUUUUCUCGCAUGUGUUCGGUGCGGGCAGAGGAAAUAGCAGAGGAUCACGUCGACGUCGACGCCCGGGGGGUCGAAGGGAGGGGCGGCGGCCUGGAAGAGCGCGACGAGCAGCGAAGCAAGUCGGUCGUGGGGCUGGAGCAGCAGCACCACAGCCUCCUCGACCCCCUGUUCUCAUAUCCUAUCCGUGCGAGCAUGGGAAAUAGCAGAGGAGCACGCACGUGUUGACGUCCGGGGAGUCAGAGGGGAGGCGACCUACCGGUGGAGCGCGGUGAGCAGUGGAUCCGGUCGGUCGUGGGGCUGAAGCAUCAGCGCCGCCGCUUCCUCCUUUCCUUUAUCAAAGCCGAAGUGGUGUCGUCGACGUCGUCGUUGAUGGUGGCGGUCAUGUUGCCUGGGACGCCGUCAACACGCCGGUGCUGCCGCUGCUGGUGGAACUAUGCAAGUCGCUGCUGGUGCAACACUGCUGCUCAUGGUGCCCAACGUCGUCGGCGCGUAACUCUCCUACCUUCUGCCCACCGGGUCACCCGGCAACGUCGAUGGUUCAACAACAUGGUGAUCACCCGAAUGCCCAUCAAAAUUGUUGGCAUGUGUUGCGGCUCUCAUGGUCCUACUGCCAACGGUGGGCGUCCAAGAGGCACUUGACCGCCGUGGCAUCCCUCGUCCUCAAACUGCGCCGGUUCGGCGGCCGCUCUGGCAUGCACGUCCCAGCGGUAGGUGGGCGAAUUCAGCUGAAGGAGCCGGAGUACAGAGGUAUACUUCCCCCUUCUCAGUGCUUUUGAUUACAGUGAUUAGAGUCAGUAGGUAUAUUUCCCCCUUCUCAGUGCUUUUGAUUACAGUGAUUAGAGUCAGUAGGUAGUGAUUAGAGUCAGUAGGUAAUACUGAACAUGGUAAAUUUCAUUAGAAUAUGACUUGCAAGUUGAUGGGUUCAGAACCUUUGUGCUGUGAAAAACAGUUAUAGUAAGAGAUUCAGACAAUGUUCUUCUGAUUAGGCACUGGACUAGCAAACGGUUUGGUACUGUCUGAGUCUUUACCCAUAAAAUGUGAUAGUAAUUAAGAUCAUAUUAUGCAAGAACCAAAGUGGUGCUGAUUUAUGAUUAAAUCUAGAAAAAGACUGAUAUUUGGUCACAUGGAUGAAUGUUAAUCCUUGUUGAGCGUGUCACUUGUAUAGAACACAGUGAGAAAUAAGGAAAGAAGACUGAUAUCUUCUCGUGGAGGUGUGGAUGCAG